GUUGAUCGCGUCGGAAGUGUAAUCUUGGGGCUUAACCCUGAGCGUGCUUUCGAUACGGGUUGACUUGAGGAAGGUAGGGGAGAAUGGAAUUCCUGGUGGAGCGGUGGAAUGCGCAGAUAUCAGGAGGAACACCAGUGGCGAAGGCGGUUCUCUGGGCCUUUCCUGACGCUGAGGAGCGAAAGCGUGGGGAGCGAACAGGCUUAGAUACCCUGGUAGUCCACGCUGUAAACGGUGGGUACUAGGUGUGGGGUCCAUUCCACGGGUUCCGUGCCGUAGCUAACGCUUUAAGUACCCCGCCUGGGGAGUACGGCCGCAAGGCUAAAACUCAAAGGAAUUGACGGGGCCCCGCACAAGCGGCGGAGCAUGCGGAUUAAUUCGAUGCAACGCGUAGAACCUUACCUGGGUUUGACAUGGAUCGGGAGUGCUCAGAGAUGGGUGUGCCUCUUUUGGGGUCGGUUCACAGGUGGUGCAUGGCUGUCGUCAGCUCGUGUCGUGAGAUGUUGGGUUAAGUCCCGCAACGAGCGCAACCCUUGUUCACUGUUGCCAGCACGUUAUGGUGGGGACUCAGUGGAGACCGCCGGGGUCAACUCGGAGGAAGGUGGGGAUGACGUCAAGUCAUCAUGCCCCUUAUGUCCAGGGCUUCACGCAUGCUACAAUGGCUGGUACAGAGAGUGGCGAGCCUGUGAGGGUGAGCGAAUCUCGGAAAGCCGGUCUCAGUUCGGAUUGGGGUCUGCAACUCGA
rnacentral:rRNA from 1 species